CCUACGGGAGGCUGCAGUGAGGAAUAUUGGUCAAUGGGCGAGAGCCUGAACCAGCCAAGUCGCGUGAAGGAUGACGGCCCUACGGGUUGUAAACUUCUUUUGUCAGGGAGCAAUUGAGUCCACGUGUGGGCUUAGCGAGAGCACCUGCAGAAAAAGCAUCGGCAAACUCCGUGCCAGCAGCCGCGGUAAUACGGAGGAUGCGAGCGUUACCCGGAUUUAUUGGGUUUAAAGGGUGCGUAGGCGGAAUAUUAAGUCAGCGGUAAAAACUCGGGGCUCAACCCCGUCGUGCCGUUGAAACUGAUGGUCUUGAGUGGGCGAGAAGUAUGCGGAAUGCGUGGUGUAGCGGUGAAAUGCAUAGAUAUCACGCAGAACUCCGAUUGCGAAGGCAGCAUACCGGCGCCCAACUGACGCUGAAGCACGAAAGCGUGGGUAUCGAACAGGAUUAGAUACCCCAGUAGUC
rnacentral:rRNA from 1 species